rnacentral:rRNA from 1 species
AUACGGAGGAUCCGAGCGUUAUCCGGAUUUAUUGGGUUUAAAGGGAGCGUAGAUGGAUGUUUAAGUCAGUUGUGAAAGUUUGCGGCUCAACCGUAAACUUGCAGUUGAUACUGGAUAUCUUGAGUGCAGUUGAGGAAGGCGGAAUUCGUGGUGUAGCGGUGAAAUGCUUAGAUAUCAGGAAGAACUCCGAUUGCGAAGGCAGCCUGCUAAGCUGCAACUGACAUUGAGGCUCGAAAGUGUGGGUAUCAAACAGGAUUAGAUACCCUGGUAGUCCACACGGUAAACGAUGAAUACUCGCUGUUUGCGAUAUACAGCAAGCGGCCAAGCGAAGGCGUUAAGUAUUCCACCUGGGGAGUACGCCGGCAACGGUGAAACUCAAAUGAAUUGGCGGGG